UCUGAGAUGCUUUUGGCUGCAACCCAGGGCCAUUAAUCUCAGUGAUAUAUUCUUCAUCCGGAUGCAUCAUCUUUGUGUCUUCUGGUAGGACUAUUUGAGGAAUGUUCCUAGACAUUCAUUUUCCUAGACUCUGAGUUUCUCUGCAAUCUGGCCUUGCUGACUGGGUAGAUCAGCCCAUGCCAUAACUGCCAUCAACUUAUUUCAGGGCGGGAAACAAGAUUCCAGAACACUUCUGAGCAGUGACAAUGGGCAUAGUCACUCGUGUUCUUUUCUGGACCAGCACCUCAUGAGUUCACCUUGCUACCAUCGAGGAAAUCCAGAACAACUACUCAAGGACAUGUCUGAAUGAGUCACUGAACCAUGGCUCUGUGAGGUCAGCUGCUCUCUGAUCCACUCGCUCCUCAGCUUAAAGACAUGGUCAAAGAUAGUGAGACAAAAAGGAAUUGCUCAAAUACUGAGAUGCAUGUCAACUCUUCCAACAACCUCCAGAAUUUACUGAGCCUGUAACACAGCUUUUGUAAUCCUUUUCUGUGAAAUCCAGUACUGUGUCAGCUUCGUUAGGGUCUAAAGUGUACCUUUCAUAAAGGACCUCAAGAUUUAUUUUCCUGAGCUUUAAAUGAGUGAAAAUGUGUUUUGUUGAAACUUCCCAAGAAGUAACUGCAUUUUCUAUGGAAUCUUCCAUUGUUUAUGGGCCUGAUGAAAGCAUUUGGCACUUAAUGAUUCCCAGACUAUUUCAACUUUAUAAAAAAUCAAGAAAAAGAAAAAAAAGGUGAAAAGUAAAUGUUUUGAAU
rnacentral:lncRNA from 1 species